rnacentral:lncRNA from 8 species
CUGGAGGAGGAGCCAUGGUAUGCGGAGUUGCGCGCUGUGUCGCCAGUGCGUCCGCACAGCCCGGUGCGUCCGGUGGACAUGCCCAGCACAUGCCGUGCUAGGAUGGGCAUCCAGCCAGGACGAGUGGCUAAACCGGCUCCACUCUUCAGUUCACCAGUGCGUGUUCACAGUCCUGUCUGGCCCGUUCCUGCUCCCCGCACCAAGUCAGUGGUGCGUGUCCCCAGUCCGGCCCGGCCCGUCCCUGCUCCCCGCACCAAGACCACGGUGCGUGUCCACAGUCCUGUCCAGCCCGUCCCUGCUCCCCGCACCAAGUCAGUGGUGCGUGUCCCCAGUCCGGCCCGGCCCGUUCCUGCUCCCCGCACCAAGCCAGUGGUGCGUGUUCCCAGUCCGGCCCGGCCCGUCCCUUCUCCCCGCACCAAGUCAGUGGUGCGUGUCCCCAGUCCGGCCCGGCCCGUUCCUGUUCCCCGCACCAAGCCCACGGUACGUGUCCACAGUCCUGUCCGGCCCGUCCCUGCUCCCCGCACCAAGUCAGUGGUGCGUGUCCCCAGUCCGGCCCGGCCCGUCCCUGCUCCCCGCACCAAGUCAGCGGUGCGUGUCCCCUGUCCGGCCCGGGCCGUUCCUGCUCCCUGCACCAAGCCAGUGGUGCGUGUUCCCAGUCCGGCCCGGCCCGUCCCUGCUCCCCGCACCAGGUCAGUGGUGCGUGUCCCCAGUCCUGUCCGGCCCAUCCCUGUUCCCCGCACAAAGCCCAUGGUGCGUGUCCAUAGUCCUGUCCGGCCCGUUCCUGUUCCCCGCACCAAGCCCACGGUGCGUGUCCAUAGUCCUGUCCGGCCCGUCCCUGCUCCCCGCAUCAAGCCAGUGGUGCGUGUUCCCAGUCCGGCCCGGCCCGUUCCUGCUGCCCGCACCAAGCCAGUGGUGCGUGUUCCCAGUCCGGCACGGUCCGUGUCCGGUCCACCGGUGCCCAAUCCUGUUCCGGUCGACGGCUCCGCUCCGGAGCCUGAGCAUGCCGCUCCACAGUGGUCCAGUCCGGGCCAGAGGGGUAGGGCUAAGGUGGAGGCGGGGGAAAGAACACGCCCGGGGCCAGAGCCUCCACCGAGGGUGAGGCGCCCACCCGGGUCCCCCCCCCUAAUAGACUUAAGUUUGGUGCGCCGGGAGUACGCACCGUUGGGGGGGGGGGUACUGUCACGCCCUGACCAGGUGAACUCGGGUAUUUUGGGUCAGGGUGUGUCAUGUUGGGUAUUUUUCCUUGGUUUGUUUUCUAUGUUAGCGUUAUAGCCUUGUGUUGGCUCUAUGUGGUUUAUCUCUAUGUUGGGUUCUGUCGAUUCCCAAUCAGAGACAGCUGUCGCUAGUUGUCUCUGAUUGGGAUCACAUUUAAGUUCCUUUUUCCCCCACGCUGUUUGUGGGGUGUUGCCUCUUUGUGUUUGAGCAGUUAACGUAUCGGCCUUGUCUUGGUUUUGUGUACGUGUUUAUUUCAAGUGCAAAGAAUAAACAUGUGUUCGCUCCCAGCUGCGUUUUGGUCCGCUUCCUUGUCACCCGAAGACGAUCGUUACACAGGGGGUGUUUGUUUUGUGUGUUUUGGGGUUUUUGGUUCUAGGGGAUUUUGGUUCUAGUGUUCUAUUUCUAUGUUUCUUUUUCCAUGUUUGGCCGAGUAUGGUUUCCAAUCAGAGGCAGGCGUUUCUCGUUGUCUCUGAUUGGAAGCCAUACUUAGGCAGCCUGUUUUUUUCCUUUGGGUUUGUGGCUGGUUGUUUUCCGUUAUAGUCUUGUACCUUAA